UACGUAGGGGGCAAGCGUUGUCCGGAUUCAUUGGGCGUAAAGGGUGCGUAGGCGGCGCGGUAAGUCGGGUGUGAAAUCUCGGAGCUUAACUCUGAAACUGCAUUCGAUACUGCCGUGCUUGAGGACUGGAGAGGAGACUGGAAUUUACGGUGUAGCGGUGAAAUGCGUAGAUAUCGUAAGGAAGACCAGUGGCGAAGGCGGGUCUCUGGACAGUUCCUGACGCUGAGGCACGAAGGCCAGGGGAGCAAAACGGG
rnacentral:rRNA from 1 species